rnacentral:rRNA from 1 species
GGGUUGUGAGGUUAAGCGACUAAGCGUACACGGUGGAUGCCCUGGCAGUCAGAGGCGAUGAAGGACGUGCUAAUCUGCGAAAAGCGUCGGUAAGGUGAUAUGAACCGUUAUAGCCGGCGAUGUCCGAAUGGGGAAACCCAGUGCAAUUCGUUGCACUAUCGUUAACUGAAUACAUAGGUUAACGAGGCGAACCGGGGGAACUGAAACAUCUAAGUACCCCGAGGAAAAGAAAUCAACCGAGAUUCCCCCAGUAGCGGCGAGCGAACGGGGAGCAGCCCAGAGUCUGAAUCAGCUUGUGUGUUAGUGGAACGGUCUGGAAAGUCCGACGGUACAGGGUGAUAGUCCCGUACACCAAAAUGCACAGGUUGUGAACUCGAAGAGUAGGGCGGGACACGUGGUAUCCUGUCUGAAUAUGGGGGGACCAUCCUCCAAGGCUAAAUACUCCUGACUGACCGAUAGUGAACCAGUACCGUGAGGGAAAGGCGAAAAGAACCCCGGCGAGGGGAGUGAAAAAGAACCUGAAACCGUGUACGUACAAGCAGUGGGAGCACCUUCGGGUGUGACUGCGUACCUUUUGUAUAAUGGGUCAGCGACUUAUAUUCUGUAGCAAGGUUAACCGUAUAGGGGAGCCGCAGGGAAACCGAGUCUUAACUGGGCGUUAAGUUGCAGGGUAUAGACCCGAAACCCGGUGAUCUAGCCAUGGGCAGGUUGAAGGUUGGGUAACACUAACUGGAGGACCGAACCGACUAAUGUUGAAAAAUUAGCGGAUGACUUGUGGCUGGGGGUGAAAGGCCAAUCAAACCGGGAGAUAGCUGGUUCUCCCCGAAAGCUAUUUAGGUAGCGCCUCGUGAACUCAUCUUCGGGGGUAGAGCACUGUUUCGGCUAGGGGGUCAUCCCGACUUACCAACCCGAUGCAAACUACGAAUACCGAAGAAUGUUAUCACGGGAGACACACGGCGGGUGCUAACGUCCGUCGUGAAGAGGGAAACAACCCAGACCGCCAGCUAAGGUCCCAAAGUCAUGGUUAAGUGGGAAACGAUGUGGGAAGGCACAGACAGCCAGGAUGUUGGCUUAGAAGCAGCCAUCAUUUAAAGAAAGCGUAAUAGCUCACUGGUCGAGUCGGCCUGCGCGGAAGAUGUAACGGGGCUAAACCAUGCACCGAAGCUGCGGCAGCGACACUAUGUGUUGUUGGGUAGGGGAGCGUUCUGUAAGCCUGCGAAGGUGUGCUGUGAGGCAUGCUGGAGGUAUCAGAAGUGCGAAUGCUGACAUAAGUAACGAUAAAGCGGGUGAAAAGCCCGCUCGCCGGAAGACCAAGGGUUCCUGUCCAACGUUAAUCGGGGCAGGGUGAGUCGACCCCUAAGGCGAGGCCGAAAGGCGUAGUCGAUGGGAAACAGGUUAAUAUUCCUGUACUUGGUGUUACUGCGAAGGGGGGACGGAGAAGGCUAUGUUAGCCGGGCGACGGUUGUCCCGGUUUAAGCAUGUAGGCUGGUUGUCCAGGCAAAUCCGGAUAAUCAAGGCUGAGGUGUGAUGACGAGGCACUACGGUGCUGAAGUAACAAAUGCCCUGCUUCCAGGAAAAGCCUCUAAGCAUCAGGUAACAUCAAAUCGUACCCCAAACCGACACAGGUGGUCAGGUAGAGAAUACCAAGGCGCUUGAGAGAACUCGGGUGAAGGAACUAGGCAAAAUGGUGCCGUAACUUCGGGAGAAGGCACGCUGGUGUGUAGGUGAAGUCCCUGCGGAUGGAGCUGAGACCAGUCGAAGAUACCAGCUGGCUGCAACUGUUUAUUAAAAACACAGCACUGUGCAAACACGAAAGUGGACGUAUACGGUGUGACGCCUGCCCGGUGCCGGAAGGUUAAUUGAUGGGGUUAUCCGUAAGGAGAAGCUCUUGAUCGAAGCCCCGGUAAACGGCGGCCGUAACUAUAACGGUCCUAAGGUAGCGAAAUUCCUUGUCGGGUAAGUUCCGACCUGCACGAAUGGCGUAAUGAUGGCCAGGCUGUCUCCACCCGAGACUCAGUGAAAUUGAACUCGCUGUGAAGAUGCAGUGUACCCGCGGCAAGACGGAAAGACCCCGUGAACCUUUACUAUAGCUUGACACUGAACAUUGAGCCUUGAUGUGUAGGAUAGGUGGGAGGCUUUGAAGCGUGGACGCCAGUCUGCGUGGAGCCAACCUUGAAAUACCACCCUUUAAUGUUUGAUGUUCUAACGUUGGCCCCUGACCGGGGUUGCGGACAGUGUCUGGUGGGUAGUUUGACUGGGGCGGUCUCCUCCCAAAGCGUAACGGAGGAGCACGAAGGUUAGCUAAUCCUGGUCGGACAUCAGGAGGUUAGUGCAAUGGCAUAAGCUAGCUUGACUGCGAGCGUGACGGCGCGAGCAGGUGCGAAAGCAGGUCAUAGUGAUCCGGUGGUUCUGAAUGGAAGGGCCAUCGCUCAACGGAUAAAAGGUACUCCGGGGAUAACAGGCUGAUACCGCCCAAGAGUUCAUAUCGACGGCGGUGUUUGGCACCUCGAUGUCGGCUCAUCACAUCCUGGGGCUGAAGUAGGUCCCAAGGGUAUGGCUGUUCGCCAUUUAAAGUGGUACGCGAGCUGGGUUUAGAACGUCGUGAGACAGUUCGGUCCCUAUCUGCCGUGGGCGCUGGAGAAUUGAGGGGGGCUGCUCCUAGUACGAGAGGACCGGAGUGGACGCAUCACUGGUGUUCGGGUUGUCAUGCCAAUGGCACUGCCCGGUAGCUAAAUGCGGAAGAGAUAAGUGCUGAAAGCAUCUAAGCACGAAACUUGCCCCGAGAUGAGUUCUCCCUGAGACUUUAAGUCUCCUGAAGGAACGUUAAAGACGAUGACGUUGAUAGGCCGGGUGUGUAAGCGCAGCGAUGCGUUGAGCUAACCGGUACUAAUGAACCGUGAGGCUUAACCUUACAACGCCGAAG